UACGAAGGGGGCGAGCGUUGUUCGGAUUUACUGGGCGUAAAGGGCGCGCAGGCGGCUCAUUUUGUCAGGCGUGAAAGCCCCGGGCUUAACCUGGGAACUGCGUUUGAUACGGAUGGGCUAGAGUUCGGGAGAGGAGAGUGGAAUUCCCAGUGUAGAGGUGAAAUUCGUAGAUAUUGGGAAGAACACCGGUGGCGAAGGCGGCCCACUGGCUCGAUACUGACGCUGAGGUGCGAAAAGCGUGGGGAGCAAACAGGG
rnacentral:rRNA from 1 species